CCGGCCCGUCGCACCUUUGGGGAGGCCGGCACCGGCCGCUGCCCCUCCUGCCGCCCGCAGCGGCUCAGCAGCGAGUGGAGCCGGAGACUUGAUGACGGCGCUCUUCCAGAUGGUCGGGGCCUCCCCUCCAGUCCCGCAAACCGCUCUUGCGCUCAAUUAAUUUCAAGGCUUCUUGGCAGCGAGACUACUGAUUACUUACAUCUAAGAUUUGGAUACUUCACUGUGGGAAAUUCUGGAUCAGGAUCCUUCUGCUCUGGAACAGCAAAAGGAGGUCUAAGAUCAAAUGCCUUGAAGGCCAGCUGCACAAAUUUAUGACCUACACCAUGCACAGAAGUAUGAACAAAUUUCAGGUUUGUUUCCUUGUUUAUUUUCCUGAAAUAAAAGAGAUUAAUAAUAAAAACUUGAGUAUGACAGAACAUUCAGCAUGAAAAUUCACUAUGUUCAGAAACCUAUGUGACUCAGUAUUCUAUGGUACUGUUAACAUGAUAAACUAAAGAGGCCAUUUUUUAAAGGCAACGACUUCUAGAUUGAUUUAACCUCAUUUUUCAGAUCUGCGAGUUACUGUAUGUAUCCAUUGUUCUGGUACAUGCAAAUUACUGGAAAGACAGUAAUACACUCUAUACACACCAAAGGAGGUGAGUGGAAAAUAAAUACAAUUGACUGAUUCCUCAUCCCCAGCUCUGGAAUGUAAGCCAUCUGAUCACGGAUAGUUAAGAUUGUGAUUAACAGGUUGCUGCUCAUUUAAUUUACAAAAAGAAACAUCCACUUAAUUUUCUUGAGUAAAGUUUAUAUCAAGCAAGUGACAUCAAUACAUAUGUGCAAGGCUCUCAAAGUCACCAGAAACAUAUGCAAGAAUGACAGAGUAUGACCUCCUUCUGUCAGACCAGUCUGGCCCACUUUAAAGCUGUAACCCCAGAACAUUAAAUUUCAUAGUCAGCAUCAACCCUUAGCUUUCCCCUAGCUGCACACAGUAGCCCCAUUUGGCUGAUGCACAGUCAUAUUAUCACAGGAAGAUAAUCCAAUCAGAAAGGAAUCACCCACCUUACUGGUUCAGAUUCUUGCCAGACUAAGUUUAUGAACUGACUUACUAUGUAAUGACACAGCUGCCAGUAUUACCACAAAAGAUCACAAGAAUGCAAAUACAGGGAGGGAAAAUACAGCAGAAUCACAGCUGCCUUUAACUGCCAUGAAAAAUCCCGUAUUCUUAACAGAGUUAACACUACUUACCUGUGAAAGCAUUGUUUCUGUAUGUCUUUGAAAUAUUCCUUAUUGAUAGUGGCAUACGGGUCAUGGA